UAAUUGUUCUCUUUUUUAUCUGUUGUAGUUUCCAUGGAAAUAAAUAGCAGGUUUUAAAUUUUGGAGCGACGUACGUAUAUGCAGCCCAAGACAAUUUCUAUUCACCAAAUGUAACCCAGGCAAGCCAAAAAGAUGGACACCCAUGACAUAACUGCAGUUGUUUGGAUAACUGGACAAAAGCACUGUUUUUGCAGUCACAAAGCACUGCUUCCAACUUGAAAUGACUUAUCAGCAUGCCUUGCCACUCCUGCAGCUUUGUGUAUUAAGUCUUCCAUUAUCCUGGAAUGCAGAUGGCCUGACUUGAGGUUUGAGUUUUCUUCAUCAUGGCUGACAACAAAUUAUUUAGCAUUCAGGAGGCUGUAACCUCACACUAUGACCACCAGGCUUUGGAGCUGCAGAUAUUUUUUCAAGUGGCUUUCCUUUUCCAGUAUGGCCAUAUAAAAUAAAUAAGAAAAGCUUUCAAAAAAAGUCAGCAUGAGCGUGUUACAGGUGGUUUCAGCUCAGAUGGAAAAAACAUGCAGAAGAUUAAUGAAUAAUUUAAGUUCAUUAACAGUUUAAUUUUUGGUGCCGCCUGGUUUCUGGCAUUCCAUUUUUCCCUCCGCCCCACUCUUCCGCACUGUGUGCUGGCCUUCCAUGUGACAGAGGGUGGGCUCCCUGGCUACCCUCCUCACAUCUUCCCUGCAUUGCUACAUCACUGUUCCUGCUCGAGGAUCAGUCACCUGCAGCUGAAGCCAUGUAAAUUACUGCCUGGCCAUGUCAGAAAAGACAGACAGAAAAAUAUUUGUGAUUCCUGGUAUAAAGCAGAAAGAAAAAUAACAUGCCUCUAUUUGGCUUAUCAUCUGAACUGAUAGAGUUGUGAAGGUCAAAAUGCCACGGUACAACCUGCACAAUCUGUGCAACAUUGCUCAAUAGAAUCAACCACAGGAUAAUGAAAGAACAACUAGAUGAAUUAACAUAAAGGACGACCCUUCAGUUAUCCAAGUGAGAAUGUGCUAUGUACUACACAUAGCAAUGUUUUCCCAUUUACUCCUAGCAUGGAAGCUGCCCCCCAGCCCUCCAUCACUGCCGUGCGCUGGUGGUCCGCUAGCACUGGUGGGACAUCCUGCCUCCACCAGCAUCACCCUGCAGCUGCAGUGCCAGACACCACAAAGAGCUAAGCAGACUGAUGGGCACAGAACAUCAUUAAUCUUUGAUCCUUUCUGCUGCAAAUUCUCAGGCUGGUAUUUAGCAGUGAUCAAAUGGCAUCUAGCUGUUAUAUUUUUUCAGCUGGCAAGCCAGCACAGUGAGCUAACACCAGCUCGACAGCUCAAGACAAGCCCCACGUUCCACUUCACACAAUCAGCAGGAAGCCCGAUGUUUGUCUUUAAGAUGCAGACCCCACUCCUCGAGGCUGUUUCCCCACACACCCACAGCUCAAGCGAUUACUGAUGUGAAGCUUCAAAGAGAAGAAGCCCACAUUCACAGUCCACAUGCAGACUUGCAGACUAGCAAAGGAUCUGGUGGCACAAUGACAUUCAGCAUAUUCAAGCAAAGGCAGAGUGCAGGGAAUCUGUGGGAGCCCUUCCCUCCUGCACCUCUGGCAAAGAUCCCUCAGAGUAAUGGACAGGAACCAGGGCACGCUUGCUGCUGUGGGUAUGGAAGAGCUUCCACCAUUAUAAUAAAAAGUAAUAAUGCAGUAGCA
rnacentral:lncRNA from 1 species